UACGUAGGGUGCAAGCGUUGUCCGGAAUUAUUGGGCGUAAAGAGCUCGUAGGCGGUUCGUCACGUCGGCUGUGAAAUCCCGAGGCUCAACCUCGGGUCUGCAGUCGAUACGGGCGGACUUGAGUACUGCAGGGGAGACUGGAAUUCCAGGUGUAGCGGUGAAAUGCGUAGAUAUCUGGAGGAACACCGGUGGCGAAGGCGGCCUGCUGGGAUACAGCUGACGCUGAGGCGCGACAGCGUGGGGGAGCAAACGGG
rnacentral:rRNA from 1 species